UACGUAGGGCGCAAGCGUUGUCCGGAAUUAUUGGGCGUAAAGAGCUCGUAGGCGGUUUGUCGCGUCUGCUGUGAAAGCCCGGGGCUUAACUCCGGGUGUGCAGUGGGUACGGGCAGGCUAGAGUGCAGUAGGGGUAACUGGAAUUCCUGGUGUAGCGGUGAAAUGCGCAGAUAUCAGGAGGAACACCGAUGGCGAAGGCAGGUUACUGGGCUGUUACUGACGCUGAGGAGCGAAAGCAUGGGGAGCGAACAGG
rnacentral:rRNA from 1 species